rnacentral:rRNA from 1 species
UACGAGGGGGGCAAAUGUUGUUCGGAAUCACUGGGCGUAAAGGGAGCGUAGGCGGGUUCUUAAGUAAGGUGUUUAAUCCCGGGGCCCAACCCCGGACCGGCAUUUUAAACUGGGAAUCUUGAAUAGUGGAGAGGUCGGUGGAAUUGGAGGUGUAGCGGUGGAAUGCGUAGAGAUCUCCAAGAACACCAGUUGCGAAGGCGGCCGACUGGACACAUAUUGACGCUGAGGCUCGAAAGCAUGGGGAGCAAACAGG